CAACGGUCAAAGAUUAUUGGAGGAAUCAACAAAGUUAUCGAUUAACCAAGAAGGGUAGGAGCAAAACAAAGCAUAGAAAAGCAUUCCUUUAAGAUCUAUAUUGUAAUCUGCAUGUUGUAAGCUGCCACAAUGAAUUUAAAGAUGUUCCUUGUGUGCUCUAUUGUCAGUUUUGUAACCGCCAAUACAUCACGCCACCGACGAUUUGGCGGCUAUGGCCCUGUUGAACCAGCAGGCGCUAAGAUUCAACAACUUAUUAACCAGGUUCGCUCUGACGCUGAAAAUAAAGCGGGUGAAGAGUUUUCUGUAUACGUGGCAGAAAAGUACAGAAAACAAAUUGUAUCAGGCACUAAUUACUUAAUCAAGGUGUAUGUUGGUGGUGGAAAAUAUGCUCAUAUUUUGGUGUUCAAACCACUGCCGUACACUAAGAAACCACCCGUACUCAAUGGCAUACAACUCAAUAAGAAGAACAAUGAUCCACUUGAAACCUUUUAAAUUCUUCUUACUUUCUUACUUUUUAAAAAGUCUUUCUUAAUUUUUAGUUAUAAGCUAAAUUGCAAUGAUAUGGUAAUUGUUGUAAUGAUUAAAUAAAAAAUGCAUUACAUUAAAAGUUGAA